UUCUGAGGCGGAGUGGGUGUGGAAAGAGCGCGCCGCCGCGCUUCCUGUGUGCUGCGCCGGGGCUUGUCGGCUGCUGCGGGAGGUGUAAGGCUUAAUUUGAGCCCGAAGAGCCUCAGAAUGUGUUGAUCACCAAGGCAUCAGCUAUGGGAUAUGGAAAGUAAUAACAAAGAGCACCCUUCAGCAGGUCUAGAGGGUCUGUUUCCCCCUACAGAGUUUGCAGUAAGGCACAUCUCAAGUAAUUUUUGUGGACUCGUCAAAGCAUUUGGUGGUCGUGAGUCAAAAUGCUUGGUAGAAGACCCAGGAAAAACCCCCAACAAAAGG